rnacentral:tRNA from 1 species
GGAGGUGUGGCUAAGUGGUAGAGCACUUGUCUGAUGGACAUGAGGCCCUGGACAAAAUUCCCAGCAUCUCAA